GGAAGUGUGGCCGAGUGGUUUAAGGCAGCGGUCUUGAAAACCGCCGUGGGUGUAAGCUCACCGUGGGUUCGAAUCCCACCGCUUCCGCCA
rnacentral:tRNA from 8 species